UACGUAGGGUGCGAGCGUUGUCCGGAAUUAUUGGGCGUAAAGAGCUCGUAGGCGGUGUGUCACGUCGGCCGUGAAAACCUGCAGCUUAACUGUGGGCGUGCGGUCGAUACGGGCAUCACUGGAGUUCGGCAGGGGAGACUGGAAUUCCUGGUGUAGCGGUGAAAUGCGCAGAUAUCAGGAGGAACACCGGUGGCGAAGGCGGGUCUCUGGACAGUUCCUGACGCUGAGGCACGAAGGUCAGGGGAGCAAACGGG
rnacentral:rRNA from 1 species